GAGUUUGUAUCCUGGCUCAGGAUGAACGCUGGCGGCGUGCUUAACACAUGCAAGUCGAACGAACCUUCGGGUUAGUGGCGGACGGGUGAGUAACGCGUGAGAAUCUGCCCUCAGGAGGGGGAUAACGGUUGGAAACGACCGCUAAUACCCCAUAUGCCUACUGGUGAAAUGAAUUUCGCCUGAGGAUGAGCUCGCGUCUGAUUAGCUAGUUGGUGAGGUAAUGGCUCACCAAGGCUUCGAUCAGUAGCUGGUCUGAGAGGAUGAUCAGCCACACUGGGACUGAGACACGGCCCAGACUCCUACGGGAGGCAGCAGUGGGGAAUUUUUCCGCAAUGGGCGAAAGCCUGACGGAGCAACGCCGCGUGAGGGACGAAGGCCUCUGGGCUGUAAACCUCUUUCUCAAGGAAGAAGAUAUGACGGUACUUGAGGAU
rnacentral:rRNA from 1 species